UCUCUGAUUCAGCGGCGGACGGGUGAGUAAUGCCUAGGAAUCUGCCUGAUAGUGGGGGACAACGUUUCGAAAGGAACGCUAAUACCGCAUACGUCCUACGGGAGAAAGCAGGGGACCUUCGGGCCUUGCGCUAAUAGAUGAGCCUAGGUCGGAUUAGCUAGUUGGUGGGGUAAAGGCCUACCAAGGCGACGAUCUGUAGCUGGUCUGAGAGGAUGAUCAGCCACACCGGGACUGAGACACGGCCCGGACUCCUACGGGAGGCAGCAGUGGGGAAUAUUGGACAAUGGGGGCAACCCUGAUCCAGCCAUGCCGCGUGUGUGAAGAAGGCCUUUUGGUUGUAAAGCACUUUAAGCAGUGAAGAAGACUCUAUGGUUAAUACCCAUAGACGAUGACAUUAGCUGCAGAAUAAGCACCGGCUAACUCUGUGCCAGCAGCCGCGGUAAUACGAAGGGUGCAAGCGUUAAUCGGAAUUACUGGGCGUAAAGCGCGCGUAGGUGGUUUGUUAAGUUGAAUGUGAAAGCCCCGGGCUCAACCUGGGAACUGCAUCCAAAACUGGCAAGCUAGAGUAUGGCAGAGGGUGGUGGAAUUUCCUGUGUAGCG
rnacentral:rRNA from 1 species